AUGAAUUUACUAAGCCUAAAGACAUGGACUUUAGUUUAAAGGUUCUCCUACUAUUUUAUACAAAUCGAUAGUCUCUACCUCCAAUUCGAGGAAUUACUCUAAUUCAUUAGUAGGUACUAGAAUCCACACAGAUUGCACAUAAGUUCGACUUUAACCGACUCACCCAUAUGCAUCCAUGGGUAGGUUCAUUAACCAAUUGUUUCCCCAAACAAUUUCUAAUAGUUGAUUUAGCCCC
rnacentral:lncRNA from 1 species